UAAUAUGUUGUUUCUGAUAUUUAAUUGCAUUGGGCCCUGACGUUCAACAUUAUAUCUUUUGUAGAAACAACAAGUGGUUCACUAAGUUGGUUGGGUGCUCGCUCACUAGCAGCAGGUACUAAAGUAUUCUUGAAGAGCCUAUCAAGCGGAAAUAAGGACAUUGCUAUUGCUACAAUUUUAAGUUGUGAUCCAAAAUAUAAACUUGAUGGUGCUGAAAUAACAAACCAAUUCUGGGUUGUACAUGUCAUUGCCGCACUUGUGAAAACCGAAGAGCUGGUACGGAAACGAAAAAAUUGCACUACUCUUGGUAACGCAGAAGGAACAAAGAUUGCAUGGCCUUCAACCUUUAUUCAAAAGAUACAUGGAUGAUGAUAUGGGUGAUUAGUUGAAUGGAAGGAGGAACAAUGUUGUCGUUGCUAUAAUCUACUUCAUAUCUCUGCAUCUUUAGUUAUCUCCUAGGAGGGAAGUGAUGUAGUAAACAAAAUAUUUAUAUAUGUAUCACGUGGAUGGUGUUUCUCUUGUAAUACUACGAUUCUUCUCUA